CCAGCUUUUUCUAAUUUUUACCCCAUUUAGUGUAUUGUAUCCCCCUUUAGUGUGUUGUACACCCCCUUGAAUGUCCCUUACAACCACCGUUGUGUAUCUAUUUUUCCCCCCAGCCACUUUGUUUUUCUCUUUCUUUCCCACAGCCCUUUUCUGUUGGUCUCUUCCCUCAGCCUGUUUUUUUGUGUGUCAUGCUUCCCCACAGGGCCAUUUGUGUAUCUUUUCCUCCCAUGCCAUAUAGACAUAGAUAUAUAGCAACAUGCACAUACAGGCACACAGUCACAGAAAUAUGCAGGCACACAAUCUUACAAUCAACACAUACAGGUACACUAUCAUACAAACCUAGACAUACAGACACACACAGAGACAUGCACACACUGUCAUAUAGAGAAAUAAAUACAUUCAUACAGAAAUAUACACACAGGCAUGCAGAGACAGGCAUACACAGAUAAAGUCACACAAAGAUAUACAGAACAAGGCAUACAGAAACAUACGGACACAGUCAUACAUACAGCCAUAGGCAUACAUACACAGUCAUAUAGUCAUACAGCCACAGGUAUACUGAGUAUGGGCAGAUCCAGAAGCUAAUCUUGGCAGGGGGGGCUGGUAGUAAGUUGUAGUGGGAUCAUAGGGGCUGUAGUUGAGAGUUAGGGGUUGUAAUUGGGGGCCUAGGAAAUGUAGUGCGGGUUAGGGACUGAAGUAGGUUGAUGGGUGCAAGUAGAAACAAGGUCUGUAGUGUGGGGGAUAUGGGCAGCAAUUCGGGGAGAGGGGCUGUAGUAGAGUUAUGGGGUGUAAAAGGGGGUUAGGGGCUGCACAUGGGGGAAUAGAGGCUGUAAUGGAAGGGAUGUGAAGUAGGGGAGUUAGGUGCUGUAGAGGGAGGUACAGGGGCAAUAUGGUUGAAAACAGGGGCAGUAGAUGGGGACACAGGAGCAGUAGAUGGGGACACAGGAGCAGUAUGGUGGUGACACAGGAGCUGUAGAGGGGGACACUUGGGCUGUAGAGGAGGACACAGGCAAUAUAGUGGUGUCACAGGGACAGUAUGGUGGGGUAAAUGGGCAGUAGAGGGGGAGACAGUGGCAGCAUGGUGGGGGCAGGGGCUGUAUAGAGAAAUAG